GCGUCCUCGGUUGGGUGUCGCUGAGGGAAGGGGGUGUUUGUUUAUGUGGGAGAAAGUGGGGGGAGGAAGGGCCAAGCCGGACGCUGCCGCUGGAGGACCGCUAUGAGCCUCCAGCCCCGUCGGAAUGCUCUGUGGCUUCCCGCCCUCGUCUGCGUCGUGUCGGUGUUUGCGGCUCCUGGGUCGGAGGCGCGGAGACACUCGCCUCAUCCCGUCGAACAGCCCCGAGGGAAACAUCGACCGCCGCACUAUGAAAGUCUAGAAUCUGUUCUCUCAGACUAUGACAUUCUUUCUGUGUCCAGUAUCCAACAACACUCCUUAAGAAGAAGAGACCUGCAGCCCGAGUCCCAUAUAGAGCAACUCUUGAGCUUUUCAGCAUUGCAUAGGCAUUUUGAAUUAUACUUAACAUCAUCAGUAGAACGUUUUCCAAAAAACUUUCAAGCACUUAUAAUGGAUGGCCAAGGCAAGGAGAGAGAGUAUCAUGUACAAUGGCAAGAGUUUUUCACAGGGCAUGUUGUAGGUAAGAAAAAUUCCAAGGUCACUGCACAUAUAAGUGGAGAAGACUUCACAGCGAGGAUUAAUACUGAUGAAAAAGAAUAUAAUAUUGAGCCCCUGUGGAGGUUUCUUAAUAAUUCGAAGGAUGGAAGACUUUUGGUGUACAAAUCAGAAGACAUCAAGGAUGUCUCACGCUUACAGUCUCCAAAAGUUUGUGGCUAUGUUAAGUUAGAGGAUGAAGACCUGUUGGGUGCAGGGAUGGACAGUAUAUCAAAUGAAGUGAAAGUCUCUCGGCAAAAAAGAGCUGUCCCCGAUCCCUUCAGGAAUACCUGCAGAAUGUUAGUAGUAGCAGAUCAUCGCUUCUUUAAGCACAUGGGCCGUGAGGAAGAAAGCACCACAAUUAAUUACUUAAUUGAAUUAAUAGACAGAGUGGAUGACAUAUAUCGCAAUACCUCGUGGGACAAUGAAAACUUUAAAGGAUAUGGCAUACAGAUAGAACAGAUUAUUGUUCACAGUGAGCCUCAAAAUGUAUCUGCUGUGGAAAAACAUUAUAACAUGGCAAAAAGUCAGCCAAACGAGGCGAAGGAUGCUUGGGAAGUAAAGGAGCUGUUGGAGCAAUUCAGCUAUGAUAUAGCUGAGAAGGCAGCUCAUGUGUGCCUUGCACAUCUCUUUACAUACCAAGACUUUGAUAUGGGCACUCUUGGACUGGCGUAUGUUGGCUCUCAAAGACAAAACAGCCAUGGUGGUAUCUGCCCCAAAGCAUAUUACAAUGCAGCUGUUGGGAAGGAUGUCUACCUCAACAGUGGUUUAACCAGCACAAAGAACUAUGGCAAAACUAUCCUUACUAAGGAAGCAGACUUGGUUACCACUCAUGAGUUAGGGCACAAUUUUGGAGCGGAGCACGAUCCUGAUGGACUGGCAGUGUGCGCCCCGACUGAAGACCAGGGAGGAAAAUAUGUUAUGUAUCCAAUUGCUGUGAGUGGAGAUCACGAAAACAACAAGAUGUUUUCAAGUUGCAGUAAAGAAUCCAUCCUUCGGACUAUUGAAACCAAAGCUCCGGAGUGCUUCAAAGAGCACAACAACAAAGUGUGUGGCAACUCCAGGGUGGAUGAAGGCGAGGAGUGUGACCCUGGCCUCUUGCAUCGGUACAUUGAUCUUUGCUGCACAUCUGACUGCACACUGAAGCCAAGUGCAACAUGCAGCGAUCGGAACAGCCCCUGCUGUAAAGGAUGCCAGUUUGAAAGUGCACAGAAGAAGUGCCAAGAAGCCAUCAACGCUACUUGCAAAGGGGAGUCCUAUUGCACAGGCAAUAGCAGUGAGUGUCCUCCUCCUGGCAAUGCUCCGGAUGACACGGUCUGCGUGGAUUUGGGAAAGUGCAAAGAUGGGGGAUGCGUACCAUUCUGUGAGAGGGAGCUAGACCUACGUUCCUGUGCUUGCAACGAAACGGACCAUUCCUGUAAGGUCUGCUGUCGAGAUAAACAAGGGAGAUGCAAACCAUAUGUUGAUGCCAACGAGAAUUUCUUAUAUUUGAGGAAGGGGAAGCCCUGCACUGUGGGAUUCUGUGACAUGAAUGGCAAAUGUGAGAAGCGAGUGCAGGAUGUGAUUGAACGACUUUGGGUUUUCAUUGAUCAGCUUAGCAUCAAUACAUUUGGAAAAUUUCUGGCAGACAACAUAGUAGGUUCUGUGGUUGUAUUCUCCUUGCUAUUUUGGAUUCCUCUGAGCAUUCUUGUACAUUGUGUGGACAAAAAGCUGGAUAAGCAGUAUGAAGAGAACACCAAGUCUCUGUUUGGCCCCAGUAACGUGGAGAUGCUCAGCAGCAUGGACUCAGCUUCGGUCCGAAUUGUCAAACCGUUCCCUACUGUGCCAUCUACGAGUCGCCACCAGCCCCUGCAGCCUGUGGUGCCGGUGCCUGUGGCAGCAGCGGUCCCCAAACUGGACCACCAAAGGAUGGACACCAUUCAAGAGGACCCAAGCACAGACUCUCACAUGGAAGACGACUGUUUUGAGAAGGAUCCUUUCCCAAAUAACAGUACGACUGCCAAAUCAUUCGAGGACCUGACAGACCACCCUGUCACAAGGAGUGAGAAAGCGUCAUCCUUCAAACUACAACGGCAACACAGAGUGGACAGCAAGGAAACGGAGUGCUAGCCUAUCUCUCUCUCUGUCUUUUGAGCUUUCGGCUCACGUUCUGCUUCUUGAUCUAAAGCCAUUUCAUUAGACAAAUACAGUGUAUAUAUGUAUGUGUAUAUAUAUAUAUAUAUUGAGAAAGGGAAACAAGGAAGUGACAUACUGCAGAUGCUGGCCAUGUGUAUGAUCUCCCUUGGUUUCAGUAUAUGAGAGUCCACUUAAAGAAAAGAAACUAAAGCCUCAAAAGUUUAUUGAAUCUUUUUGAUUUUUUUUCUACAGUCUCGAGUUGAACAUUUCCUUCAGCCUGUGGUGUAGAGGCAUAAUCUGCCUGACACUAGAUUGUACAUGUUAAUAUUUUUAUACUGUACUGUUUUGUAGUUGAACAGCACUGAUAGACAGUUUUCAUCUUAAUACGAAAGCCCCAACCCAGUUUUAGUUGGUUUUGAUUGACUUCAGCGGGAGUGUGGCCUGAGCAUUUAGUGACUUCUUGGAUCAGCCAUUAACAGACCCAAAUAAUUCAAAACAGUAUUUUUCUUUUUAAAUGAGGGUGAACAUUUUGCCAAUUGAAGUUUCUAAGGUGCGAAGUGUGUGUGUGUGUGUGUUUAUGGGAACUCAGUGUGAUAUAGGGAGCAGUGCAGUAGUGAUGGGCUUAAAUGCAGAUCUGAGUCCAAGAAUACUUUCAUGGUCAUUGGUCAGAACCCAAUAGUGAUUUUGACAACUUUAAGCCCAUUGAUUUCAGUGGGACUUAGAGAGGUAUAACUGUGUGCUGGACGGUGGUCUCUGUUAUAAAGUAAAAUGGGUGCUGUUGACUCGUUCAGCUGUGGAGGGAGGACAUGAUUAUUCUGGGACACACAGUUGUUGGCAGGUAGGCAUUUCGGGAUAAAAAUCAGGGCUGCUGAUCAUGGAUUUCAUAUGAUGUAAA